CUGGCUUCGGCGUCAGAUACUGGAGAGAGAGAGAGGGGAGAGAUAGCGUCGGCGUCUUCUCCCUUUCUUCCGGGCUUUCUGCCCGCUGAGAACGUGCGCGCAGAAAGGAUGAAGUUCGAGCCGUGGAGUACUUCGAGCCGUGCGCCCCUUCCCCCGUCCUCCUCCACCUUGCCUGGGCUCCGCCUCCUCCGCCCGCAUCCUCCUCUCUCUCUUUUCUGCGCCAACGGCCUCCUCCCUCGUUGCUGGACCCGCCCUGCUUCGCCUCCGCCAGCCUCUUCCUCCUUGCCGUCAACGGCAGCGGUGUGAACGGGAGCAGCGGCCGCGACUAGAUGCGAUGAGUUGACCGGGCUGGUUCCACGCUGAGGAACGGACCCCCUCGACACCAUCCUCUGCGGCGCUACUCUGCUGCAUGCGUUCGUCACAGUUAAGUUCUGGUUCCUUACCUGCUCCCCCUCCUCUUGAGCAUUAUGUUCCUCACAGUAUUUAGCCUUGCUACCUUCAUAUGUUCAUGUGCAGGUUUGUGAUCUCUUCUGCAUUCCGCUUUCCAGGAGUUCUUGCCUUCAACCCUGAGGUGGAAUGGCUCUUCCCAUACUUGUCUCGCGGAGGUGGGGCUCGAAGAAGUAUGGCAUGGGGCUCGAGGACGGGAGAGGAUUGGUCCUGAUGCGCUAGGCUCGUGCGCCUGUUUUCCUUUUUUUUCCUUCGAUGGGGCCGUUCAGGUGAGGUGAAGCAAGCGAGCACCUCCCCGUGUUUUAUAUUUGAGAUCGAGGACAGAGCGAGUCGUUGCAGAGGAGAGGGGAUACGAGGGUGGGCGGAGGUCAGGCAUUGCUAACAGAUUUGCGGCGGAGUGGAAGAGGUGACGCCAGCCGGCCGGCGCCUCACCACCGGCUCCUGUUUGGCGGUGGCAAAGAGAAGGGCGCCGAGGAUGUGUUGCUCUAUGCAUGGUUGUCGAAGUACAUCAUCGUUAUGAUGUGUAUGGUUUCUCUAGCCCUACUGCUCCUGAGCCCAAAUCCCAUGGUCAUGCCCCCACCUCUCCAUCGUUGAAUGAAGGGAGUCUGGUUGCUAAAAAGUGAGUUUUCUUAAUCAGUAUGUAUGGCCCCUCUGCACAUGCCGUUUCUUCGUAUUUAAGAGCCCCUCAAGCUUUCUCAGUUUUCUGAUAGAUAUGGAAUUUUAAUUUGAUAGCCCAACAACGGUGGCUACUGAUGGAGCUGUCUAUUAUUUAUUGUCAAUCUGUAAUACUUUUGUCAGCUUCUAGCAUGUCGUUGCUCUGCCAGAGUGCAAUUUUCUCUACAUGGCAUACAGCAGUUACCGUUGGUUGAUAUGUUUGUUGAAGUUUUAUUGCAAGUUAAAUAGAUGUGUAGUGUGGCAUACUGAUUAUUAUAAUUUGAUAAUGUCAGGCGCCGAUGGCUUUAGAUAUGUAAAUAAAAUACCUUUAAGUAAAACUAAGCAUUUAAUUAUUAUUCUUGUGUUAUUGAUUUCACCGGUUUUAUGUCAGCCGAUUAGUUUUGAAGGAUUCCACAUCAGCUAAUUUAGAUUAUGUUACUAGAGUAUUAGAAGAAGUUCCUGAUAUAUGUAUUUAGAGCAUUUGCUGAGAUUUGAUGCAAAAUAUUGAUGACCAGGCAUUAUACUGCGUAUAAGCACAAUUUUUUAGUUUUUCUUUUGUUGUUGCAGCAGCUUUUCUACAGCAAUAGCCAAAUAAUGUGACAUCACACCACUCCAUUUUCAUAGGCCAUAACACAUCUUUACAUGAUAAGCCGACACCUAACAAGGAUCGGGAGAACAAUAGAGAUGCUAAGAGGCAACCUUUUGGGUUAAGGAUAUAAACAACAACAGGGCUUAUGAGGCCGAAAAGAGCUCGAGUGGCGCCUUUGGGUUCUUGAAGCCCUGCACGUUCCUGGUGGAGUAGCAGCAAAAUAAUUUGGAGGCUUUAAAGCUACUGCACUUCAUGUAGUUAGGAUCAAUUCUUUGUUUUGGUUUGAAAUAUAUUGCCCAGCUCCUCCUAUUUGAUUGAUUCAUCUGAUGAUUUUGCCAGGCAAAUAAACAAAAGGCAUAUGUAUUGUUACGAGUGACGCCAUCCAUACUCCCAUAUGUGGAAUUCAAGAAAUAGAGAAAUGUCAUUGUUCUUCUACUAAUUGGUUGCUUGGCCAAAUGUACUGUAAAUGAUUUAUUAUUGUUCAAGGUAUAGAGAAAUGUUACUAUUGUUCUUCAUUGUAGUGGAUGA